AUUGAACGCUGGCGGCAGGCUUAACACAUGCAAGUCGAGCGGGGUGAUGGUGCUUGCACUAUCACUUAGCGGCGGACGGGUGAGUAAUGCUUAGGAAUCUGCCUAUUAGUGGGGGACAACAUCUCGAAAGGGAUGCUAAUACCGCAUACGUCCUACGGGAGAAAGCAGGGGAUCACUUGUGACCUUGCGCUAAUAGAUGAGCCUAAGUCGGAUUAGCUAGUUGGUGGGGUAAAGGCCUACCAAGGCGACGAUCUGUAGCGGGUCUGAGAGGAUGAUCCGCCACACUGGGACUGGGACACGGCCCAGACUCCUACGGGAGGCAGCAGUGGGGAAUAUUGGACAAUGGGGGGAACCCUGAUCCAGCCAUGCCGCGUGUGUGAAGAAGGCCUAUGGUUGUAAAGCACUUUAAGCGAGGAGGAGGCUCUUUUGGUUAAUACCCAGAAUGAGUGGACGUUACUCGCAGAAUAAGCACCGGCUAACUCUGUGCCAGCAGCCGCAGUAA
rnacentral:rRNA from 1 species